rnacentral:piRNA from 1 species
UCUUCUUGGAGGUACUCAGAGCUAUGAG